CCUACGGGAGGCAGCAGUGGCCUACGGGAGGCAGCAGUGGGGAAUAUUGGACAAUGGGCGAAAGCCUGAUCCAGCCAUGCCGCGUGUGUGAAGAAGGUCUUCGGAUUGUAAAGCACUUUAAGUUGGGAGGAAGGGUUGUAGAUUAAUACUCUGCAAUUUUGACG
rnacentral:rRNA from 1 species